rnacentral:lncRNA from 1 species
GGGAACCAUGGAGUUCGUUCUCACCCCACGUGGUUUUGGGGUGUUACAGGUUCGCACGUGAGCGGCGCGGCGGCGCGAGGCGAAGGCGUAGUUCCAUAGUUAGCGCCCUACCACCGAGACCAGAGAUAGCGGUACCCUAAGUCGGCCUUACUUAGGGAUGCAAUAAAAUGAAAAGGAUGAAGUUGUAAUAAUAUUGUUAAAGCUAGAUUGUAUUUGGAAGCUAAAAAGAAUGUAUUAUGUAAUUGUGAUGUAAAAUGAAUCUAAUGUGAAUGCUUGUAAUAACAUAGGAUGUGUUAUGUUGUUGAUAUCUUUCUUCUGCAAUCUUGCUUGAAUAUUGUUCCUGGUUGAAACUCAU